UUCUACGGGGGGCAGCAGUGGGGAAUAUUGCACAAUGGGCGAAAGCUGAUGCAGCGACGCCGCGUGAGGGAUGACGGCCUUCGGGUUGUAAACCUCUUUCAGCAGGGACGAAGCGCAAGUGACGGUACCUGCAGAAGAAGCACCGGCUAACUACGUGCCAGCAGCCGCGGUAA
rnacentral:rRNA from 1 species